rnacentral:lncRNA from 1 species
CAAACAUGUUGCAUUGCUUUCGAUCCCAUUAUUUCUCAACCUAAGUGUAAUUUGGAAUUCAUCCUAAGAAGUACAGAUGGAAGGGGAGAAAAUGAACAUAGAUUAUAGUCAAAUUCUCAGUGUCAUUCUUGUAAAGUAGCUCUUCUAUGCUGAGAUGAAAUUUUCUCUUGUCCCUGUUACCUGCAGUCAACACCUGCCAGGAUAUAGGAUCCAUUCCCAAAGCGACCCCUGCCUACAGUCUUACCUAAUUUCUGUCCUCUCAGUUCUUGCUAGAGAGGGUAGAAAUACCUCUAUGCCUGACAAAAGAAGCUCCCCCACAGUAAGGGGAUGGCUGUCCAAUUUUCUAGCUGAUAAAGCAGAAGGCAUUUAUGUAAAAGUUGCCAGUCACUUUCAAAUAAUAAGACUUGUUUAUUAAUUUUUAGUGACCCUGCAAAGUUGAUUUACUAUAUUUACUAUUUUUUCCAACCCAUUAUCAUUAGCUUUGGAAGUAGAGAAACUUGCCCCCAGAUUCUAGAAAAUGUUGAUAAUCAAAUCCAGUUCUUGGUGGUAGCAUGAAUUUUCUUCCUGCUUAGUGCCGUCCAAACUCUUGGUGAGAAGCUUUUUGCCAGAUGUCGUUUUAAACCAGAAGCCACUGCAAGCCUGGAAAAAUCAGCUUCCUUGGGGUGUUUGAGAUGUAAUCGAAAGGACUAUUUCCAGAAGCACUUCCAUGUGUAAAACAGCAUAUGGCCGGUGCUUCAGCCUGCCUGGAGGGUGUUGGUGUCAGCAUGAACUCCCAUGCCCACAGUGGAGGUUGUAUACCCAGUGAGAGGGACUUCAAUAUCAAUGUGUUGAGGUGAUUAUGAUGAUAGUGGUGUGUCAUAAUGGUGAUGAUGAUGUAACCAACAAGGUUCUUCCAUAUUGAUGUUUCUCUAUGUUGCUGCACCUAGGGUUCAAUAAUUACUUGCAAGACAAUGUCAGAUGAGUCCUCUCAAUGCAGUUACUUUAAUUAAAUGGAACUUCUGAUAUUUUGGUUUUCCUCCCUGUUUGAACCACUGCUGGAACUAAUGGCUACUAAUUACACGCAGUGUUUACAAGAGACACCUAGAGGCCCUGACAGGUGGCAGUGGAGAGCCCUUUAGUUGAAGGACAAGAGGAACAGGUUGAGCUGAACCCAGGAACAGGCUCAUUGGCUGCAACCUGAGCCUCCCAUCUUGCAAAUAUUUAUGUGGAUAGCUGAGGUAUCAGGAUGAAGCAAUCGUUGGCACUUCCCUUCCCAUUUUAAAGAUGACAAACAAAUAGCUCUUCUGACAGCUGGGAGCUUGAAGAACCAUAUAGAAAACAAACAGUCAGGCUUUGAGGACUGGAGAGUUUUCAAAAGGAAAGCAAAAAGGCCCAAAAGGAGAUUAGAAUGAGAAGAGAGAGAAGCACAAUGCUUCAAGGAAGGUUAAGAUCUUCAGCCCCGGCAUGUUGAAAUACUGAUGGAUAAUUGUAAUUAGCUUUCAGAAUUUUUAAUUAUAGAAGUGGUAUAAAAAAUCACCCGACCCAGCUUCACUAAUGAGAGUCCUUGUGCUGAGACACACAGGGAGGCUUUUGUUAGGUGCCUUUGAAAAUGUGGCUGUUAAUUAGGUGUCUUGCAGAGGCAGGAUUGCAGCAGAAGAGGCAACAUUUAUACACUGAAAUUCGACUCAUCAAAAGAGGCAGCCAAUACCAUUAAAAGGACUCAAAGGAAAAGCCAGACAUUGGUGGGCUUUGGUUUUGACUAUCAGAUUGUGCAGAGUCACUCGUCUCAAAAGUGACAAAGCCAUAGUGCACACCCCAGUCUUUCUGACCCCGAAGCUCCUGCUGUUUCUAAUACACUGAACUGUUUUGCACAAACAGGCAAGCAACACGUAUCGGCCAUCUGGUCAGAAUGCUCUCUCCAGCACUUUUCUUGUGAAUCAGCUGCUUGGGUGUUGUGUAAAAAAUGGAACAUUCUACAGAUUGUCUGUCUUCUAAAACACAGAAAUAACAGGAAUCUCAUUGAUUGAAUGCCACAGAAUCUGGAAAUCAUUGGUCCUCUCUUGGAAGUCUUUUUACUUUUAUCUAGGUCCUAAUUUUCCUAUACUUUAUCAUUGAUUUUUUUCAUAUAAUAUGCCAGCUAAAUGGGAUAUCUUUUUUUUUCUUUUUUUGAGACGGAGUCUCACUCUGUCACCCAGGCUGGAGUGCAGUGGUGCGAUCUCGGCUCACUGCAAGCUCUGCCUCCCGGGUUCACGCCACUCUCCUGCCUCAGCCUCCUGAGUAGCUGGGACUACAGGUGCCCACCACCACGCCUGGUUAAUUUUUUUGUAUUUUUAGUGGAGAUGGAGUUUCACCGUGUUAGCCAGGAUGGUCUUGAUCUUCUGUCCUCGUGAUCCACCCGCCUCGGCCUCCCAAAGUGCUGGGAUUACAGGCGUGAGCCACCGCGCCCAGCCUAAAUGGGACAUCUUUUAACACUCCUUCCAGAGAAACCUAUAUAUUAGCUCGGCAGGGGCACACUGUUUCCAGCCUGUGCGGCAGCUAGGUGUGACCAUGUGACCAAGUCCUGACCAAUGAGAGAGACAAAGUGAGAAGGCGAGUUAAAUACGUUUUGAUGAAGAUAGACAGAGCUUCACUCUUGUUGCCCAGGCUGCAGUACAAUGGUGCGAUCUCAGUUCACCACAACCUCCGCCUCCCGGGUUCAAGUGAUUCUCCUGCUUCAGCCUCCUGAGUAGCUGGGAUUACAGAGCCUGACUUUCUCAUCGAAACCAUGGCUGCUUGGACCCAGGCUCUCCCCAUGAGGUAAUAAAUGUGCAAGCACUUUGCAGGGAAAAUAAGUGCCUGACACCUGACAUAAACACGUUUGUUUCCUUUUUAUUCUCAUCAUCAUCACCAUCAUCGUCAUCAAAACUACCUAAAAACACAAUGAUGGAGCAGUGGAGUGAAAAUGACAAGGUGUGUGUGUGUGUGUGUGUGUCUGUAUGUGUGUGUUGCCAUAGUUUCCGGAUAGCCUAUUAGUCUAUGUUAGUCUAUUCGUCGGCUUGGGCUGCCCAUAACAAAACACCACAGUCUGGGUGACUUAACCCAUUUCCCAUUUAGGGAAAAAAAAAAAAAUUGCAGCUUGCUGCCAGUGCAGUAUUCUUGGGGCAAAUGGGAAAUGGGUUAACAACAGAAAUUUAUUGUCUCCGUUUUAGAGGCUGGAAGUCUCAGAUCCAGGUGCCAGCUGAGAGGUGAGGGCUCUGUUGCUGGCUUACAGACAGCCACCUUCUUGCUGCAUGCUCAUGUGACCUCUUCUUUUUGUACCUACAGAGAGUGCCCAAGCUCCAGCAUCUCUUCUUCUAAGGACACUAAUUCCACUGGAUUAAUUCCACCCUUAUGAACUCAUUUAACGUUAAUGACCUUUUAUAGGCUGCAUCUCCAAACAUAGUCACAUGGGGGUUAGAGUUUAAACACACGACUUUGGGAGGGACACAAAUGGUGAAUACAGAGAGGACUGAGUUUGAUUCCCUAAGAAGCAGAAUCUAAAGUCUUGAGUUGUUGAAGGUGAAAGCACUGACACUAGAGGAAAGGACAGGAUGCGAGGGAGAAUGCAGGAGGAGAAGCCUGCUAAAUCUUUAGCAUAAAAAACACAGUCAGGAAGCUAGAAUUCAGAGGGAGACCCAUCCAUGCCAACCUCCAUGAUGUCAGGUGUAGCCUUUUGCUUAGUCAGAGAACUUGCCCCUACAGAAGGCUUAACUCCUGCACACGCACCACACAGUAGUAACAAGCCCCCAACACCUCACAGCAAAAAUCAUCAGUGAAGACAAAGGCAACAAGAAAUGCAAGAGCAGAGUCAUUUUUGGAGAAUGAUCUUGUCCAGGUCCAAUGAGAGAGGGAGUUGGGACAUGCCAGUAGAAACCAGAACUGUUAUUCUCACUCAUCUGCUGAGAUCCAAGGGUCUCAUUUCUUUUAGGGUUUUCCUGAAGGCAUCCAUUUUCAGCCUCAUAAUUUUUAGGCUCUGUCACAGCAGUUUAUGAGAGUAAUUAUGUUUAUCCUUUAUUUGGCUAAAACUAAUGAACCAAUGAUAAACAACUCAGCAUUUUCUUCUCUGUUGAAUAAUGAAUAUUAAUUAACCUGUCAAAAAAGGACUGGCACUCAUUACCAAAUAUAGCAUUGACUCAUUUGCAUGCCAAGGCAUGGAAAGGCUGCCACGGGUUUUGAAAGGUAAGUGUGUUCAGAUGCUGUCAGAGCACUUGCAUUGCCUAUGGAACCAGUUUGUGGUCUCAGCCACAGGAGCUACGAGGCACCGAGUUUUGGCCCCAAACACCUGACUGGAAUUUGAAUCUUCUGUUGGCAUCAUAGCCGCUCAUCAAACUUCUCAGUGGUUGAUUUGAAAAUGUCUGUGCUUGGAAAAUGUGCCACCAGCAAGCACCAGGAACUCGGCCAAGGGCAACUGCAGUGCCAUCUUUGGUGACAUAUGGUGGUAUCUGCAUUUUGAUAGAGCCAACAUAUGGAUUCUAGGCUUCUCCUCUUGGGAGGAAGGAUGGUGUGGUGAAGAAGGAGCUGUUGAUCCAUGAAUUGGGCAUCUGCAUAAACACAGUGUAUUUGGCCUGGGCAUUGAGUUGGCUUUAUUCUGAGCAUUCUUCAGGUGGCAUUUGGAAAGGCUGUAUCUCCCAUUAGAUAAGCAAUGGGCGGUUUGACCUGGCCAAAAGGGAGCAAUAAAAU